AUCCCAGUUCGGAUCGCAGGCUGCAACCCGCCUGCGUGAAGUUGGAAUCGCUAGUAAUCGCGGAUCAGCAUGCCGCGGUGAAUACGUUCCCGGGCCUUGUACACACCGCCCGUCGCACCAUGAGAGUCGGGAACACCCGAAGUCCGUAGCCUAACCGCAAGGGGGGCGCGGCCGAAGGUGGGUUCGAUAAUUGGGGUGAAGUCGUAACAAGGUAGC
rnacentral:rRNA from 1 species